rnacentral:rRNA from 1 species
UACGAGGGGGGCGAGCGUUGUUCGGAAUUAUUGGGCGUAAAGGGUGCGUAGCCGGUUUGGUAAGUCUGAUGUGAAAUCUAUGGGCUCAACUCAUAGUCUGCAUCGGAAACUGUCGGGCUUGGGUAUGGGAGAGGUGAGUGGAAUUUCCGGUGUAGCGGUGAAAUGCGUAGAUAUCGGAAGGAACACCUGUGGCGAAAGCGGCUCACUGGACCAUUACUGACGCUGAUGCACGAAAGCUAGGGGAGCAAACAGG